rnacentral:rRNA from 1 species
CAAGUCGAACGAUCCUUCGGGAUAGUGGCAAACGGGGUAGUAACAGGUAGGAACAUACCCAGAAGUCAGGGACAGCCCAUCGAAAGGUGGAUUAAUACCUGAUAGUCUCGCAAGAGUAAAGCUCAGGCGCUUCUGGAAUGGCCUGCUCGGUAUCAGCUUGUUGGUAAGGUAAUGGCUUACCAAGGCAAUGACGCCUAGGGGGGGUGAGAGCCCGAUCCCCACCAUUGGGACUGAGACACGGCCCAGACUCC